CCUACGGGUGGCAGCAGUAGGGGAUAUUGCUCAAUGGGGGAAACCCUGAAGCAGCAACGCCGCGUGGAGGAUGAAGGUUUUCGGAUUGUAAACUCCUUUUGUUAGAGAAGAUAAUGACGGUAUCUAACGAAUAAACACCGGCUAACUCCGUGCCAGCAGCCGCGGUAAUACGGAGGGUGCAAGCGUUACUCGGAAUCACUGGGCGUAAAGAGCGCGUAGGCGGGAUAGCAAGUCAGAUGUGAAAUCCUAUGGCUUAACCAUAGAACUGCAUUUGAAACUGUUAUUCUAGAGUAUGGGAGAGGUAGGUGGAAUUCUUGGUGUAGGGGUAAAAUGCGUAGAGAUUAAGAGGAACACUCAUUGCGAAGGCGACCUGCUAGAACAUAACUGACGCUGAGGCGCGAAAGCGUGGGGAGCAAACAGGAUUAGAUACCCGGGUAGUC
rnacentral:rRNA from 1 species